rnacentral:rRNA from 1 species
GAUGAACGCUAGCGGCAGGCUUAACACAUGCAAGUCGAGGGGCAUCACGGGUAGCAAUACCUGGUGGCGACCGGCGCAAGGGUGCGUAACGCGUGAGCAACAUGCCCUAUACAGGGGGAUAAUCCAGGGAAACUUGGUCUAAUAUCCCAUAGCAUUUAGAGGUGGCAUCACCAUUAAAUUAAAGCUUCGGUGGUAUAGGAUUGGCUCGCGUGACAUUAGCUAGAUGGUGGGGUAACGGCUCACCAUGGCUAUGAUGUCUAGGGGUUCUGAGAGGAAGACCCCCCACACUGGGACUGAGACACGGCCCAGACUCCUACGGGAGGCAGCAGUGAGGAAUAUUGGACAAUGGAUGGAAAUCUGAUCCAGCCAUGCCGCGUGCAGGAAGACGGCCCUAUGGGUUGUAAACUGCCUUUUAUAUGGGAGCAAUAAGGUCUACGAGUAGACCGAUGAGAGUACCAUAUGAAUAAGCAUCGG